UACGUAGGGUGCAAGCGUUAAUCGGAAUUACUGGGCGUAAAGCGUGCGCAGGCGGUUAUGCAAGACAGAGGUGAAAUCCCCGGGCUCAACCUGGGAACUGCCUUUGUGACUGCAUGGCUAGAGUACGGUAGAGGGGGAUGGAGUUCCGCGUGUAGCAGUGAAAUGCGUAGAUAUGCGGAGGAACACCGAUGGCGAAGGCAAUCCCCUGGACCUGUGCUGACGCUCAUGCACGAAAGCGUGGGGAGCAAACAGGAUUAGAUA
rnacentral:rRNA from 1 species